GUGCUCGUUUUGACAACACAUAUAAUAAAAUUGGAAAGAUGCAGAGAAAAUUAGCAUGGCCUCUGGAUAAGGAUGACACACAAAAUCAUAAAGUAUUACAUAUUUUU
ensembl:snRNA U6 U6 spliceosomal RNA